ACCCAUAAAUUGGACAAGGGGGUCAACAAAGGUAACCUUCUUCCCAGUGUGCUUCUUCCUCCAGGUUGUCUUCUGGCCUCCCUUCCUUGUGUGGCCACCUUCUCCAUUGGGUGGAGUCAGCGCCCUGGUGCGGCCGGAGUAGCCCCUGUUUCCACCCCUGCGCCGGUUGGUGCUGUAGCAGUCGUCCACCCCUCCCCUGCAACGCGUCAUCCGUCCCCAAGAGGAUUGGCUUCUCUGGCAUCUUACCCCACGAUUGAAGUUGUCGUCGUGGUCGUCGUGGUCAUCUCUACGGGGACGGUAGUCGUGGCCGUAGCGGUCAUCGUGGCCCUGUCCGCGACGCCGCUCACCUUGCGAGUCUGGCGUCCCGUAGUUCCAGAGGAACUCACGCCAUGGCUUCCUGUUCCCAUCCCCUCCACUUCCACCAUUGAAGGAGAGGUCUUCGACGACAUCGAGGUGGAUGUGGAGCUUGUAGUCGUAGGCCCCCUUGUAUCCUCUUAGCAGGUUCUGGUGGAGUUCUCCCUUGUCUUGCUCCCUGUCAGGAUCAACAAUGGUCAGCAGUACCUUCUUUGGGAUUUUGCUUGGAUUGGCACACCAUGCCCACAGGUCGUAGGUGCGCGUUCGGUCCUGGCGGCGGGAGUGGCUCUCAAUGAAGUGGACGGUGCAGUUGGGGACAAUCUUGGCCAGCACCUCUUCUGACCAGGCAUGGACGGGCAGCCCUUCAAUGCGGAAUCUCACUCUAAACACCAUCAUGCUAUCUGUGGCCCCGCGUCGUUCGGUCCGGGGCUCAAAAUAGAAGACCCUGCCCAAAGGCAGGACAACCCUGUGCUGCACGGUGUGGUGGUAUGCCCUGCAUUCGGCAAAGAAAAACCAGUAUUGCUCGGGGAAGAGCUUGACGGACCCUUGCCAUCAUGGUGCUCGAUGUGCAACAAUGUGGUGGGUGUCGUUGGAUCUGGUGUGGGCGGGGCAGAGGAGCCGGCAGCUCGGGGGGAUCUGGGUGGGGGGUGGUACGGGGAGCGGCCGCCAUGGCCGUCACCCUCCGCGGGUGGGGGGUGGGUGUUGGCCAUUACUCAAAGCUCGCAAUCAACCUUCACAUUGAACAACUACGUUCUGAUUAUUGCUUUCCCCUUUUAUAUGUUCAGGAUGUUGUCGACAGAGGCUGAUGGUCUUUUACCGAGGAUCUCUUGCAGCUUUCCAAUGUUUGGAGUCCGUUCUUCGUUUGGAUAAGAGAGAAGGGAGGUUCGAUGCUUUGGUGUGCACCUUGGCCAACUGGUGGGCGGCGACAGCAGCUCAGUCCAAGGAGGAAGAACAGUAGGGAUCUUGUUGUAAUUUUCGUGUUACCCAGGGUCCUUUCUAUAAGAAUGGGAUGUACUGUGC
rnacentral:lncRNA from 1 species